UCUCCUGUAGCUCAGAUGGUAGAGCCUUGCGCUUUUAACGCAGAGGUCGUGCGUUCGAUCCGCACCAGGGGAA
rnacentral:tRNA from 1 species